rnacentral:rRNA from 1 species
CUAGAGAUUCCUACGGGAGGCAGCAGUGGGGAAUUUUGGACAAUGGGGGAAACCCUGAUCCAGCCAUGCCGCGUGAGUGAAGAAGGCCUUCGGGUUGUAAAGCUCUUUCAGCCGGAACGAAAAGGUUACGGUUAAUACCCGUGACUAAUGACGGUACCGGAAGAAGAAGCACCGGCUAACUACGUGCCAGCAGCCGCGGUAA